rnacentral:rRNA from 1 species
UACAGAGGGUGCGAGCGUUAAUCGGAAUUACUGGGCGUAAAGCGUGCGUAGACGGUUAUUUAAGUCGGGUGUGAAAGCCCCGGGCUCCAACCUGGGUAAUUGCAUUCGGAGACGUGAAUAGCUAGGGUACGGGUAGAGGGAAGUGGAAUUUCCGGUGUAGCGGUGAAAUGCGUAGAUAUCGGAAGGAACGAAUCAGUCGGCGAAAGG